rnacentral:misc_RNA from 1 species
AUUUAGUGCCCUACCUCCUCCUCCUACAAUCGCAAUCCGCUCCCUUUCGCAUACCUUCAAACCAUUCUAGCCCUAAUUUCUUUUUCUAUCUAUUUAAUUUCUCCAUCUUUCCCCACUGUUUAAUCUGCAAUCUCUUCGUAACCCUUAUUUUUUGCCCUUCUCUUUUCAAACCCUAAUUUUCUUAACCAGUAUCUGAUCUUUUGAAUCUCUCUUGAUUUGUUGGCAAUUCCAUUUAAUCCUAGAUAAUAAAUAUUGUCAGCAAAUUUGUUCAAUUUGGUUCUUAUUUAUUUAUUUAUUAAAUUCCAGAAUCUUAGCCUAGAAUUUUGUUUAUAGCACAAAAUUUUAUUUUGGCCAACGGAUUUAUAAUUUUUCUCUGUGUAUUAACAUCUGCAUCAAUUACGCACCUUUGAUUGGUCUUGGCAUUAGGAAGAAAUGGUUGGGGGAGGCAGGAGAGACGAGGGAUCGCUGGUGAUUAACAACAAUAAUGUGUUUGCGGCCCUUGAAACUCUGAGGAAGAAGAAGAAGUCUGAUAAGGAGAGGGGGACAUCAAAGAGCGCCAAAGGGUCUUCCAAACCUCAGCUACCAAAACAGCAGCACAAAGAACCUGAGCCUGAAGUUUUCUGGGCCCCUGCCCCGCUCAAUGCUAAAUCAUGGGCAGAUGUCGAGGAUGAAGAUGAUGACGAUUACUUUGCUACCACUGCCCCACCUCAGGCCGUUUGGGGUUCCUCAGAGCCACAUCAAAGUGACGAUAAGCCCACCAACAUAGAGGAAAGUGAGAGUGAAGAAGAUAUUUUAGAUGAAGGUGAUGAUGAAGUGGAUGAAGAGCAUGACCAUGAACCAGAGGUUCCAGCGCACUCUGAGCCAGUGGCAAAGAAGCUUCCUGAAGUUUCUGCAGUGCCUAAGGAGACAGAAAGGCAACUUUCAAAGAAGGAAAGGAAGAAAAAGGAACUUGCAGAGCUAGAGGCCCUUCUGGCUGAUUUUGGAGUCUCUCAGAAGGAUAGCAAUGGCCAAGAUCAGUCACGUGGUAUUUUUAUUAAUAUGACAAAAAUUUUUCUGUUUUAUUCAUGGAAUCAUGGUUCAUUAUAGUUUAUUUAUAUAUGGAAAUGUUUAUUGGUGUAGGAUUGUACAAGUCAAAUAUUACUCAUAUGUAAAAGUUCUAAAUUAAUUUGGCAAUUGUUAGUAAACCGUGCAUAUGAGCAACAUUGUACUUGUGCAUGUGGCACAGCACACAAUUAAGUAUAUACAUGUGUGCCCUGACUCCUGGAAUCAGAUUGUUUUAAGCUUUUACUUACUGCAUUUUUCUUAAUAUUUUUUUGGGGGAAUAAAGCUGUGUUGUGUAUGUGUAUAGCUUUCAAAUAGUAGCUGUACUACUGAAUAUUUUCUAAUCGAGGAAUUCUUUUGAAAAUGAAUUGAUAGAUGCUGCACAAGAAGGAAAAGAGCCAGAGCCUAAUGCAGAGGGUGAAAAGAAGGAAAGUGCCCCUGGAGAGUCCAAAAGUGCUAAGAAGAAGAAGAAGAAGGAUAAAUCAAAGGAGGUGAAAGAACCCCAGGAUCAGUCAAACACUUCUGAAGUCGACAAUGGGGCAGAUGAAGCUGCUGGAACUGAACAGUUAGAUGAAGAUUCUUCUGCUGUUGAUGUGAAAGAGCGUCUAAAGAGAAUGGCAUCUGCAAAGAAGAAAAAAUCUAGUAAAGAGAUGGAUAAUGCUGCAAAAGCUGCUGCUCAAGAGGCUGCUGCAAGAAGUGCAAAGCUUGCUGCAGCCAAGAAGAAAGAGAAGAACCAUUACAACCAGCAGCCAGUGCGGUAAAAUGCCCCUUUUUUGUUUCACACGCAUAUGAACAUGUAUUUCUCGCCGUUCAUAUGACAAUGUGAAAUAAAAUAUCUCCCGUCUGUGGUUUCAAAAAAAGAUGACUUUCUAGUGUGUACUGCCAUGGACUAAAAGAAAGUUCCCCUCUCCCUUUUUUGGAUCUUUAUUGUUGCUUGAUUGUCAUGGAAAACAUAGUUUUAGCAGUUUUGUUAAUCCAAACUUCUUCUUUGGACAAUGAUUGGACUUGAAUUUUGUGUAUCGUAGUCCUUUCAACAAAAUAUUUAGCGCCGUCGAUGGUUGAACAUUAUAUUAAGGUUUUGCAUGUCAUUUGAAAUUUUCAAUGAACAGGACUAUAGGAGCUAUGCAACCA